AGGUCCUAUUUUUAUACACUAUUUUAAUUCAAGGUACUAUUUGACAAAAUAAGAAAGUUAAGGUACUAUUUUCCAAAUUGAGACAAAAACAAGGUACUGUUUGACAAUUUUGCCUUUUUUUUUAAUAACAUUAUGACAUCAUUUUCCGGUGAUUUUUGCCGAAAAAUGAUUUCGGGUUGUAAUUUAAAAUCAGAAACUUUCUUGUCAGGCCGCCUGACGCUCACGCGCACGUCAGACCACCUCUUAUCCCACGCGCGCGUGAGAUCACGCGCACUAUAAAAGCGAUGUUUUCUCUCUCUUCUCAUUUCAUCUGUUCUUCUGAAUUAUUCGUUUCUCUCUCCUCUCCCCUCUCCCUUCUCCUGGUUCAACACUCCUCAAAACCUCCGCCUCUUUUCCCCAAAUCUCCUCCACCAAGAAGCUCCAAUCGCCAAACCACCACCACCUACACCAUGGUCGUCGCCUGGCAGCCGAAACGCCCAUCGAUAUCUCUCCUCUCCUCUCAGCGUGCAAAGCUUCCUUCCUCGUCGGAGAGGACAACCAUCACCACCAUCAUAUUCGUCGCCGCCGCCGACCUUACUCCCUCUUCGAACAGUCGAACUCACCGGUUUUAGGCGGUGAUGACGGUGGUGGAGGUGCGGCUGGUGCUGCUAGAAAGGCGGUGGGUUUCGGUGAAAUGAUGUAAGGUGGAGCUAUAUCGCAGCCACGUGAGAGGCUGUCGAUUCCCAAGCCGGCUCCGAGAGCUCGCCGUGCUUCGGUUGUGGAGAUUGGGGUGGAGCAGCGGAUGUUUGAUCGAGGAUGGUUUCAAGGGAAAUAUGCUAGCUUUGUAUUUCAGUAGAUUGCAAGGGAAAUACCGAAAUAUGCUAGCUUUUGUAUAAAUUUGGUUUUAGUUACAAUUUUUUUAUAUUUAGUUAUGAAAUAAAGGAUUUUAGUUACUCUGUACAA